CCUAGUCCGUCGCAUCAUCACCUACUUAUUCUAGUUUUGUGACACCCUAAUCGUCUCAUAUCAGAUAACAUAAUAGAGUGUGAGAGACUUUGAUGUGACGAACAAAAUAAAACUAAUUAACAAUGUACUGGACUUAAAUGUUUUGGACUAAUGGUUUGGGCUCAACGAGUUAUUAGUGCCAGUGGCUUAGGUCGUUAUAAGUUUGAUUUGUCCUGCUCUUCUUCAAUUGGCGAUAAGACUAAAAAC
rnacentral:lncRNA from 1 species